UCAGCUGAACUAACUAGACAUGCCCUUUUCCUUCACAAUCCGUAAGGCGCAAAUAAAUUCGAGAGCAGCAGUGUGAUUCACAUCAUCAAUGCGCCAUGUAGCCUAGAUAUCAAUAAUACGUGAUAUCAGUGUAGCCUGUAGGCUACUCGCAACCCUGACAACAGGGCACUCCAGGAACUCAGGAUCAUGAUCCCCACCACAACAAACACCGUUGUCCUUCUACACACCGUUCUCCUAUAUACUCUGUUCAUCUACACACACUUGAAACACGGCAAAAUCCUUUAAAGUUCUUACACUGCAGUGGUUUGGGGACGAAAGCUCUUAUGGUGUAUCUUACAUAACCAAGCUUCACAUGCAUAGGGAUUUGCUGUUUAUCAAUAACAACAGUACCGAUAGACUUUUCUCUUUUUCUCCAUUCACCCAACGGGUCAGACGCCGGGUACCAACCACACCAGGAAUUGUGUUCAGGUAUUCAACCUGAACAUCCGUCAUCACCUCUGAGAUUUACAUUUUGUUCAAGUUUUUGUUCCAGUUUUCAAUACUUGUAUUUAUUUGUUUUAUGUAACCUUUAUUUUACUAGGCAAGUCAGUUAAGAACAAAUUCUUAUUUACAAUGACAGCCUACCACAAGGCAAAAUGCCUCCUGCAGGGAGGGGGGGCUGGGAUUAAAAAUUAAAAUAUAAAAUAUAGAUAUAGGACAAAACACACAUCACGACAAGAGAGUCAACACAACACUACAUAAAGAGAGACCUAAGACAAAAACAUAGCAAGGCAGCAACACAUGACAACACAGCAUGGUCGCAACACGACAUGACAACACAGCAUGGUCGCAACACAACAUGACAACACAGCAUAGUCGCAAGACAACAUGACAACACAGCAUGGUCGCAACACAACAUGACAACACAGCAUGGUCGCAACACAACAUGACAACACAGCAUGGUCGCAACACAACAUGACAACACAGCAUGGUCGCAACACAACAUGACAACAACAUGGUAGCAACACAACAUGACAACACAGCAUGGUCGCAACACAACAUGACAACACAGCAUGGUCGCAACACAACAUGACAACACAGCAUGGUCGCAACACAACAUGACAACAACAUGGUAGCAAUACAACAUGACAACACAGCAUGGUCGCAACACAACAUGACAACACAGCAUGGUCGCAACACAACAUGACAACACAGCAUGGUCGCAACACAACAUGACAACACAGCAUGGUCGCAACACAACAUGACAACAACAUGGUAGCAACACAACAUGACAACACAGCAUGGUCGCAACACAACAUGACAACAACAUGGUAGCAACACAACAUGGUAGCAGCACAAAACAGUACAAACAUUAUUGGGCACAGACAACAGCACAAAGGGCAAGAAGGUAGAGACAACAAUACAUCACGCAAAGCUGCCACAACUGUCAGUAAGAGUGUCCAUGAUUGAGUCUUUGAAUGAAGAGAUUGAGAUAAAACUGUCCAGUUUGAGUGUUUGUUGCAGCUCGUUCCAGUUGAUAGCUGCAGCGAACUGAAAAGACGAGCGACCCGGGGAUGUGUGUGCUUUCGGGACCUUAAACAUAAUGUGACUGGCAGAACGGGUGUUGUAUGUGGAGGAUGAGGGCUGCAGUAGAUAUCUCAGAUAGGGGGGAGUGAGACCUAAGAGGGUUUUAUAAAUAAGCAUCAACCACCUCUAGGUGUCGCACAUCUUCCUCAUUAUCCCCAGUGUAUUUAUACCUGUGUUCUCUGUUUGUCUGUUGCCAGUUCGUCUUGUCUUGUCAAGCUUACCAGUGUGUUUUUCCAUGCUCCUGCUCUACUAGUCUCUGUUUUUCUAGCCCUCCCGGUUCUGAUCAUUCUGCCUGCCCUGACAGUGAGCCCGCCUGCCUGUCCAUUCAGCCUGCCUUGACCUCAAGCCUAACUGACCCAACUGUACCUUUCGGACUCUGACCUGGUUAAUGAAUUUCUGCCUGUCCGAGACCUGCCCAUUGCCUGCCCCUUGUAUUUCAAUAAAUAUCAGAGACUCUAA